rnacentral:tRNA from 1 species
GCAUCCAUGGCUGAAUGGUUAAAGCGCCCAACUCAUAAUUGGCAAAUUCGUAGGUUCAAUUCCUGCACGCCAAC